UACGAAGGGGGCUAGCGUUGUUCGGAUUCAUUGGGCGUAAAGGGUGCGUAGGUGGCGCGCUAAGUCAGGUGUGAAAUCUCGGGGCUUAACUCCGAAACUGCAUUUGAUACUGGCGUGCUUGAGGACUGGAGGGGAGACUGGAAUUCAUGGUGUAGCAGUGAAAUGCGUAGAGAUCAUGAGGAAGACCAGUGGCGAAGGCGGGUCUCUGGACAGUUCCUGACACUGAGGCACGAAGGCCAGGGGAGCAAACGGG
rnacentral:rRNA from 1 species